AACAGGAUUAGAUACCCUGGUAGUCCACGCUGUAAACGAUGUCAACUAGCCGUUGGUCCUUCAAGGAGGAUUAGUGGCGCAGCUAACGCAUUAAGUUGACCGCCUGGGGAGUACGGCCGCAAGGUUAAAACUCAAAUGAAUUGACGGGGGCCCGCACAAGCGGUGGAGCAUGUGGUUUAAUUCGAUGCAACGCGAAGAACCUUACCUACCCUUGACAUCCAAUGAAUCUCGCGGAGACGUGAGAGUGCCUUCGGGAACAUUGAGACAGGUGCUGCAUGGCUGUCGUCAGCUCGUGUUGUGAAAUGUUGGGUUAAGUCCCGUAACGAGCGCAACCCUUAUCCUUAGUUGCCAACAGGUCAAGCUGGGAACUCUAGGGAGACUGCCGCUGAUAAAGCGGAGGAAGGUGGGGACGACGUCAAGUCAUCAUGGCCCUUAUGGGUAGGGCUACACACGUGCUACAAUGGCCGGUACAGAGGGCAGCGAAACCGCGAGGUCAAGCAAAUCCCAGAAAGCCGGUCUUAGUCCGGAUUGGAGUCUGCAACUCGACUCCAUGAAGUCGGAAUCGCUAGUAAUCGCGAAUCAGAAUGUCGCGGUGAAUACGUUCCCGGGCCUUGUACACACCGCCCGUCACACCAUGGGAGUGGGUUGCAAAAGAAGUCGGUAGUCUAACCUUCGGGAGGGCGCUGACCACUUUGUGAUUCAUGACUGGGGUGAAGUCGUAACAAGGUAACC
rnacentral:rRNA from 1 species